rnacentral:lncRNA from 1 species
GUUUCACUACAUUUCAAGAUGAUGAGUUUCAUUUUUCAUUUAGAAGUGAUUUCAGUACUUUAUAAUAUGGAUGUAUAUAUGUUAGUUUUUAAUAUAAAUUUGCAAAAAUAAAUUUAGAAGUCACUAUAAAUUUGUACAUGAGGUUAUUCUGGAUAUGUAAAGAAUAAUUCGUACAAAUGGGGCAUCAGUGUGUUCCCUCUUGUUUACACGAAGUAACAACUACUCUUCCAGACCACCUCCGAGACAUGUCGAUGGGCACAAAUUUGUAAGAAACUGUCUGAGAACACAUCUACAAGCCGUUCCUCUAGACCAUCCGUUUUAUAUGCGGACAAACAACAACUGAUAUUUUCGAGGAUUAACGACACCACAGAGAAAUUACACUUCCGCUAUGCUGUACCAGAAGACAUAGACAAACUUGUUGCAAUGACAAGUGAUGAAGGCUGGUGGUAUACUGCCUUUCACUACAACGUUCUUCACGAACUCGACCCUUUCGCCAUAACUAUUGCAGCAGACGAAGCCGAUACCCCUGUUGGCUUUAUAGGAGUAUGCAACGUAUUACCGGGGAUAGCGUAUAACGGACCAUUUAUAGUACGAAAAGAUUUCCGCGACGUAGGUAUCGGAAAUAUAUUCAACAGACUUAUGAAAGAACUAGUUGCCGAAAGAAACGGCUGUAUGGAUCUCGACCAUGAUUUCGUUGAGCACUACGUACAAAAAUGAUUUAUUCAUAAAUCAUACAAAUUCAAAUUAUACAAACUCACAGUAAGUGAUUAUUGCAGGAAUGCAAAUGAAAAAGCCAGUAAAUGUAACAUUGUCCCAGUAACAAACAAGUUGUUGCCCUUUGUUUUAGAAUAUGAUAGAGGUAUAUAUAGAGGGCUAGACAGAGAAAGGAUUCUCCGAGCUUGUUUAUUUGGUGACAGUGUACAUACCGUCGCUGCAUUGUGUGAUGAAACUAUUAAAGGCUAUGGAAGUUUGAUCAAAUCCACAACAAACACAUAUAGUAUCAGUACACUUUUCGGUGACAGUGAAAGUAUUGUAGAAGAUAUACUUGGAAACAUGAUAGAGCUCGUUCCUAACGGCGCUUCUCUAAUUGCAUUACUAGUGGCAGAUAAACAAUUAUCUAAACGCUUUUCAUGAUUCGAAACAUAUUCUUUAAUGCAAAGAAUUUUUAACAAGUUCAGUAUAGAAACUGAUUUAGACCGCAUGUAUUAUGUCAAUGACCAUAUGCUUUAGUUGUCUUCUUUCGAUAUUAGUAUAAAUUUUUUUGUGAAUCUGAUAUGCUGGAAAGAAAAAUGCACGUGUUUGAUAAAUCGUGUUAUUCAUGUCUUUUACAGGGCAUUAAAUAUUACUAAGUCAAUAUUUUUUAGACAUUUUCUUUCAACCUGGUUAUGAUUAGGUAUUUGGUGUCCUAAUACAACAGACGAAAAGUGAAAGAAAACACAGGUUGCCCAACAAAAUAUGCAUGAAAAGGUUACAAGCUCAGUUUGACUGAGCCUGUUCGUGGAUGGUACUUGAAAUGUAAGGUACCGUCCAUGCCCUCUAGCCCUAAACUGAACAGAAUUCAACAUUUAUAAUACGUCUUACAAGUACCCAAAACGAAUUAAGAGACUUCCGCAAUGUGUACAUGUGUUCAUACGGCGGUGUGCAGGGAACCUUGAAUAAAACACAGAAUGCAAUUUCAUGAAUGACGUAUGGUCGACAGUUAAAAUAUUGGGUUUGCCCUAUACGAGAAAACAAUGGGCACAACUUUAAAAACUGAAAUUUAGAGAGGGAAUCUAGGACUAUGGAGCCUGCAUAUCACAGAAACUGCCAAAAGACAAAAUUUAAAAGUGAGCACCAAAUCCAAUUAUUGAUUAUAACUAUACCAUACCAAAGCUAUUGAAGUGGAAGAAAUGGAACCAUAAAAGCCAAAAUGUUCCAGCUGAAGACUUUAACAGUACGCCAACACAAAAUAAAUGUCGUGUUCAACAAUCUGUAGAUAAAGAAAUACAACAGCUCAAAUCAAAAGUACUUGGAGACAUUUUAUGGCCGCCAUAAGCAAACCAAACAGUGCAGAGUGACUGUGUUUUGUGUUUCCUAUUACAGUACAUUGACGUCUGUAACCCUGACUGAAAAUAAUUGAUAAAUAUAUAGCCACAUACACCAAAUUAUUCCUUUUGUAAGACGAAAACUAUAUACACAUACCUCUUCUGGAGUCCGCGACUGGUUCCGGAAAUGACAUCACCAAUAUGGCGACUGAUUAUGAAAAUACUAUUGCUGCAAGAAAUCAAUAGCAAUUUUGAUGAUUUCAUAUAUCUUUUUAUUUAAAAUGUUAAUGUUUACAUUUUUAACAAAGAAGUUAUUGUAGAGUGCACGGCCUAGCUCGGUAUAUGAAAUAUAGUAUAAAUUUUCCUAUGGACUUCCUUGCCGACUGACUGGAAAACAAAUAAUUCUAAAAAUGAUUGGCAAUGUGUAAAAUAAUUAAUGUGAAUCAAUCUAUCUCAAUUUAACUGAUGAUGAGCCAUCAGAAUUAGUGGAUGUGAUCUUGUUGUAUGGUGAUUCACAACAAACAAUGCCUGAGAUGAAUACCAUACAUAAGUUUUACCAAAAUACUACUAGAUGUCAAAUUCCUGUCGUCGUGGCCCUUAAACGAAACGCAAUGUUUGGAGUAAGAACUCAGACUAUGACAGGAGGUCAAGAACCCAAUAGUAUAUUGUAAUUAUUUCUUAUUUAUUAUCGCUCGGCAGCUUGGCACAUUCAUAUAAUAUCUCUAUUUUAAAGUUGUUGACUCCUCUGUGGUCAGACAGGUUCUCCUGUCUUCGUGGCGUUGUCCCGGUAUUUAUAAGCUUUUAUUAAUUAAUCUGAAAUG